rnacentral:rRNA from 1 species
AUUGAACGCUGGCGGCAGGCCCAACACAUGCAAGUCGAGCGAGCGGCGGAAGGGUGAGUAAUGUCUGGGAAACUGCCUGAUGGAGGGGGAUAACUACUGGAAACGGUAGCUAAUACCGCAUACCAUCAGAUGUGCCCAGAUGGGAUUAGCUAGUAGGUGGGGUAAUGGCUCACCUAGGCGACGAUCCCUAGCUGGUCUGAGAGGAUGACCAGCCACACUGGAACUGAGACACGGUCCAGUCUCCUACGGGAGGCAGCGUAGGGGAAUAUUGCACAAUGGGCCCAGGCCUGUUGCAGCCAUGCGGCUUGUUUGAAGAAGGCCUUCGGGUUGUAAAGCACUUUCAGUGGGUAGGCUUUACCCGCAGAAGAAGCACCGGCUAACUCCGUGCCAGCAGCCGCGGUAAUUC